UGUGUCCGGAAGUGCUCGUGCAGCUAAAAGCUGAACGCGCUAGAGCGCCGGUGAGGGACGGUGGGAGCCGCGAGUUCUUCGCUAGGUGUGCGUGCAGCUCUAUGUGGCUCGGAAGGGGGAAGACCAAAGACUAGAUUGUAAGAAAAGCAAAUAGAAGCCAUGUUUCGAAGACCUAUUUUACAGGUAUUUCAUCAGUUUGUAAGACGUGAGUCUGAAGUAGCUAGCAGCUUGGUUCUUGAAAGAUCUCUGAACCGUGUGCAGCUGCUUGGGCGAGUGGGUCAGGACCCCGUCAUGAGACAGGUGGAAGGGAAAAACCCAGUCACGAUAUUUUCUCUAGCGACGAAUGAGAUGUGGCGGUCAGGGGAGAAUGAAGCGUACCAAAUGGGUGAUGUCAGUCAGAAGACAACGUGGCACAGAAUAUCAGUAUUCCGCCCUGGCCUCAGAGAUGUGGCAUAUCAGUAUGUGAAAAAGGGGUCCCGAAUUUAUGUAGAAGGGAAAGUAGACUAUGGUGAAUACACAGAUAAAAAUAAUGUGAGGCGACAAGCAACAACAAUCAUAGCUGAUAACAUUAUAUUUCUGAGUGACCAGACCAAAGAGAAGGCAUAGAAUGGACGAUUCUCCCUUGGCCAUUGCUUGAUGAGGAAACGUGAAACCGAGAGGUUAAGUAACAUGUCAGAGUCAUGCAGCUUAUUAGAGGCACACCUGAAGCGUGAGUUUUGUUAACAGUUGCUAAGGGGGUAUAAGCAGAAGUCAUUUGGUGGUGCUUCCAGGAAAGCUCCUGAAAUGAUUAACUCUUUUGGGAGGCUCAUCCUUUGUGCUUCUCCAGACCCUCACCUGGCUUUUUCUUGUCUGAAACGUGGACACAAUGGCUGAAUCUCCAGCAGCCGUCUUGGACUGUGAGACGAUCUUCAGGAUGGAAGACAGAAGAAGCUGGGAUCUGCAAUGACGAUGGAAACACCAGACCAGUCCUGGACAGUCUAUCUCUGGACUUCUUUGGGAGACACAAAUAAAUCUCUACCUUGUUUAAGCCA